GCUGGCGGCAUGCCUUACACAUGCAAGUCGAACGGCAGCAUGACGUGUAGCAAUACACGUUGAUGGCGAGUGGCGAACGGGUGAGUAAUAUAUCGGAACGUGCCCCGUAGCGGGGGAUAGCCCGGCGAAAGCCGGAUUAAUACCGCAUACGCUCUACGGAGGAAAGCGGGGGUCGCAAGACCUCGCACUAUAGGAGCGGCCGAUAUCGGAUUAGCUAGUUGGCGGGGUAAAAGCCCACCAAGGCGACGAUCCGUAGCUGGUCUGAGAGGAUGAUCAGCCACACUGGAACUGAGACACGGUCCAGACUCCUACGGGAGGCAGCAGUGGGGAAUUUUGGACAAUGGGCGCAAGCCUGAUCCAGCCAUGCCGCGUGAGUGAAGAAGGCCUUCGGGUUGUAAAGCUCUUUCGGCAGGAACGAAAUGGUCCGUGCUAAUACCACGGACUGAUGACGGUACCUGAAGAAGAAGCACCGGCUAACUACGUGCCAGCAGCCGCGGUAAUACGUAGGGUGCAGGCGUUAAUCGGAAUUACUGGGCGUAAAGCGUGCGCAGGCGGUUUCUUAAGUCAGAUGUGAAAGCCCCGGGCUUAACCUGGGAACUGCGUUUGAAACUGGGAGACUUGAGUGUGGCA
rnacentral:rRNA from 1 species